rnacentral:tRNA from 1 species
GGUGAGAUGGCUCAGUGGGUAAGAGCACCCGACUGUUCUUCCGACGGUCCAGAGUUCAAAUCCCAGCAACCA